rnacentral:lncRNA from 1 species
AAAAUUGAAAAUAAGAGAUGAACAAGAAUCUGAGAAUAACGUUUUAGAUAAAGAUAUUGAAGAACUUGAAAAUAAUAUUGCCAAAAUUUAUGAACAAAAGGCUAAAGGUGCUCAAAUAAGAUCACGAGAGAAAUGGGUUGAAUUUGGGGAAAAAAAUAACUCGUACUUUUUAGGUUUAGAAAAACAGAGACAGGUAAAAAAGUCAAUCAAUAAAUUAAAAGGGGAAAAUGGUGAGAUUUU